AACGAACGCUGGCGGCAUGCCUAACACAUGCAAGUCGAACGAGACCUUCGGGUCUAGUGGCGCACGGGUGCGUAACGCGUGGGAACCUGCCCUUAGGUUCGGAAUAACUCCCCGAAAGGGGUGCUAAUACCGGAUAAUGUCUACUGACCAAAGAUUUAUCGCCUUUGUAUGGGCCAGCGUUGGAUUAGCUAGUUGGUAGGGUAAAAGCCUACCAAGGCGACCAUCCAUAGCUGGUCUGAGAGGAUGAUCAGCCACACUGGGACUGAGACACGGCCCAGACUCCUACGGGAGGCAGCAGUGGGGAAUAUUGGACAAUGGGCGAAAGCCUGAUCCAGCAAUGCCGCGUGAGUGAUGAAGGCCUGAGAGUUGUAAAGCUCUUUUACCCGGGAUGAUAAUGACAGUACCGGGAGAAUAAGCCCCGGCUAACUCCGUG
rnacentral:rRNA from 1 species